rnacentral:rRNA from 1 species
UACAGGGGGGGCAAGCGUUGUUCGGAAUUACUGGGCGUAAAGGGCUCGUAGGCGGCCAACUAAGUCCGACGUGAAAUCCCAAAGCUUAACUUCGGAACUGCGUCGGAUACUGGAUGGCUUGAAUUCGGGAGAGGGAUGCAGAAUUCCAGGUGUAGCGGUGAAAUGCGUAGAUAUCUGGAGGAAUACCGGUGGCGAAGGCGGCAUCCUGGACCGGCAUUGACGCUGAGGCGCGAAAGCCAGGGGAGCAAACGGG